rnacentral:tRNA from 1 species
GGCUGCAUAGCUCAGUUGGUUAGAGCGCGGCUCUCAUAAGGCCGAGGUCCCGAGUUCAAUUCUCGGUGCAGCCA